AACGAACGCUGGCGGCAGGCUUAACACAUGCAAGUCGAGCGAAGCCUUCGGGCUUAGUGGCGGACGGGUGAGUAACACGUGGGAACGUACCUUUUGGUUCGGAAUAACGCAGAGAAAUUUGCGCUAAUACCGAAUGAGCCCUUCGGGGGAAAGAUUUAUCGCCGAAAGAUCGGCCCGCGUUGGAUUAGGUAGUUGGUGUGGUAAAGGCGCACCAAGCCUACGAUCCAUAGCUGGUCUGAGAGGAUGAUCAGCCACACUGGGACUGAGACACGGCCCAGACUCCUACGGGAGGCAGCAGUGGGGAAUCUUGCGCAAUGGGCGAAAGCCUGACGCAGCCAUGCCGCGUGAAUGAUGAAGGUCUUAGGAUUGUAAAAUUCUUUUACCAGGGACGAUAAUGACGGUACCUGGAGAAAAAGCCCCGGCUAACUUCGUGCCAGCCGCCGCAGUAAGAC
rnacentral:rRNA from 1 species